GGGGAAUUUUGGACAAUGGGCGAAAGCCUGAUCCAGCAAUGCCGCGUGCAGGAUGAAGGCCUUCGGGUUGAAAACUGCUUUUGUACGGAACGAAAAGGCUCUGGCUAAUACCUGGGGCACAUGACGGUACCGUAAGAAUAAGCACCGGCUAACUACGUGCCAGCAGCCGCGGUAAUACGUAGGGUGCGAGCGUUAAUCGGAAUUACUGGGCGUAAAGCGUGCGCAGGCGGUUUUGUAAGACAGAGGUGAAAUCCCCGGGCUCAACCUGGGAACUGCGCUUGUGACUGCAAGACUAGAGUACGGCAGAGGGGGGUGGAAUUCCACGUGUAGCAGUGAAAUGCGUAGAGAUGUGGAGGAACACCAAUGGCGAAGGCAGCCCCCUGGGUCGAUACUGACGCUCAUGCACGAAAGCGUGGGGAGCAAACA
rnacentral:rRNA from 1 species